UCCCACAACCAAAAUUCGUUUCCUUUUCCAUCUCCCGAUCUGUUGAUUCGUCAACCACACCAUUAAAAAUCUCUCUAUAAAGGUUAAGAAAAAAAAAGGGAAGACAGAUUUAUUGCGAGUCGCUUUUUUUCGAUUUGAACAACGUGCGGCGGAAUCUCUUUUUUCAUUGAGUCUGACGGGUACGACGACGACGAUCCCACCGAUCUCUAAUGUUGUCGUAGUUGACGAGGACCGCUCUAAAAUGUCGCCGUUUUGUUUAUUUUCUGUUUUAUUUGCAAUCUAACCCCUUAUGUUUCUAAUAUGUUGUUAUAUCCACCACAUGUUUCCAGAAACCAACUUUUUCAUAUAUGUAAAACUUUUCAAAGCUUGGCGGGAGUGAGUUCACUCACUAAACAACAUAGUAGAUAGUUGGUUUAUUUAGCGGCUCAUAGGUUGUUUAAUUAACUAUCUUUUUUGGUUAGUGUUGUUGAAGUUAAAAAUUUCAAAAUUAUAUCCUUAAUUUGUUGUUGGAGCUCUUACUAGUAA